CUUGUUCCUCAGAUUCUUGUUUGCAUGGGGAGGAGGGAGGAGAUGGGCCACGUUCCCUCUGCCUGGAACGCCCUUCCCCCCCUUCUUCACCUAGCGAACUCCUACUCGUCCUUCAAGAC
rnacentral:pre_miRNA from 8 species